UUAUUAAAACUAUUACUAUUCGUCUUCAGGACAAAACUUAUGCACAAAGAUGACUCUUUUAUUUGGAAAUAUCUGUUAUAUUUGUCACGUACACUGACAGACAAAAUAAGAUGUUCUGAUGAUAAUGAGGACAUGACGGAAUCUGAUGACAACUCAAGAGGAAAGAUCAACAGAGACAGAAUAGAUGGUCAGAAUGAAGAGAAUGACUCAAAACUGGGCUCAGACCACAAGAAGGUUCAACUCCAUCAAAUACCUGAUUCACUUGGAUCCACCGUUGUCAGAGAGUCAGUUUCAUCUGACUACAAUGAACACUCUGGCCCCCAAGUCAAGCACCUGACACCAUUAAAACAAAGACAAGAGCCGAAGGAGGGAGACAAUGGUAAGAGGACACAACAAAAGAUAUGAAAUAUAAUUAUAUUUUAAUCCCCAACAGUUAACUCUCUCAGUGAUCAAGCUUAACAUUAAUAAGAGAAAUGUUGUAAAGAUUUAGACCAACUCUAACCUGAAGAAAAAUGUUUUAAAGAACACAGUGACUGUGAUGAGGCUGUUGAUGCCACUGCUCCACAUACAAGGCGGAUAAAGCAGGGCCCAUUGAUAGAAGACCAUAUGACUGGUAAGUGACAAGGUCUGACAGAAUACCAGCAAACUAC